CCUACGGGAGGCAGCAGUGGGGGAUAUUGCACAAUGGGGGAAACUCUGAUGCAGCGACGCCGCGUGAGGGAAGACGGUCUUCGGAUUGUAAACCUCUGUCCUCGGGGAAGAAAAUGACGGUAUCCAAAGAGGAAGCUCCGGCUAACUACGGGUCAGCAGCCGCGGUAAUAGGUAGGGAGUGCGCGUUGUCCGGAAUUACGGGGUGUAAAGGGGGCGGAGGCGGGCGGGAAAGUUGAAGGUUAAAGCUACCGGCUAAACUGGUAGCUGCGUUCAAAACUUCUUGGCUUGAGUGAAGUAGAGGCAGGCGGAAUUCCUAGUGUAGCGGUGAAAUGCGUAGAUAUUAGGAGGAACACCAGUGGCGAAGGCGGCCUACUGGGCUUUAACUGACGCUGAGGCUCGAAAGCGUGGGGAGCAAACAGGAUUAGAUACCCCAGUAGUC
rnacentral:rRNA from 1 species